rnacentral:rRNA from 1 species
UGGGGAAUAUUGCACAAUGGGCGCAAGCCUGAUGCAGCCAUGCCGCGUGUGUGAAGAAGGCCUUCGGGUUGUAAAGCACUUUCAGCGAGGAGGAAGGUGGUGGACUUAAUACGUUCAUCAAUUGACGUUACUCGCAGAAGAAGCACCGGCUAACUCCGUGCCAGCAGCCGCGGUAAUACGGAGGGUGCAAGCGUUAAUCGGAAUUACUGGGCGUAAAGCGCACGCAGGCGGUUUGUUAAGUCAGAUGUGAAAGUCCCCGGGCUCAACCUGGGAACUGCAUUUGAAACUGGCAAGCUAGAGUCUCGUAGAGGGGGGCUAGAAUUCCAGGUGUAGCGGUGAAAUGCGUAGAGAUCUGGAGGAAUACCGGUGGCGAAGGCGGCCCCCUGGACGAAGACUGACGCUCAGGUUCGAACGCAGUCGGGUGGAGCAAACAGGAUUAGAUACCCUGGUAGUCC